rnacentral:rRNA from 1 species
AGAGUUUGAUCCUGGCUCAGGAUGAACGCCGGCGGUGUGCCUAAUACAUGCAAGUCGUACGCACUGACCCAACUGAUUGAUGGUGCUUGCACCUGAUUGACGAUGGAUCACCAGUGAGUGGCGGACGGGUGAGUAACACGUAGGCAACCUGCCCCGGAGCGGGGGAUAACAUUUGGAAACAGAUGCUAAUACCGCAUAACAACAAAAGUCACAUGGCUUUUGUUUGAAAGAUGGCUUUGGCUAUCACUCUGGGAUGGACCUGCGGUGCAUUAGCUUGUUGGUGGGGUAACGGCUUACCAAGGCGAUGAUGCAUAGCCGAGUUGAGAGACUGAUCGGCCACAAUGGGACUGAGACACGGCCCAUACUCCUACGGGAGGCAGCAGUAGGGAAUCUUCCACAAUGGGCGCAAGCCUGAUGGAGCAACACCGCGUGAGUGAAGAAGGGUUUCGGCUCGUAAAGCUCUGUUGUUAAAGAAGAACAUGCGUGAGAGUAACUGUUCACGCAUUGACGGUAUUUAACCAGAAAGUCACGGCUAACUACGUGCCAGCAGCCGCGGUAAUACGUAGGUGGCAAGCGUUAUCCGGAUUUAUUGGGCGUAAAGAGAGUGCAGGCGGUUUACUAAGUCUGAUGUGAAAGCCUUCGGCUUAACCGGAGAAGGGCAUCGGAAACUGGCUAACUUGAGUGCAGAAGAGGGUAGUGGAACUCCAUGUGUAGCGGUGGAAUGCGUAGAUAUAUGGAAGAACACCAGUGGCGAAGGCGGCUACCUGGUCUGUAACUGACGCUGAGACUCGAAAGCAUGGGUAGCGAACAGGAUUAGAUACCCUGGUAGUCCAUGCCGU